GACGAACGCUGGCGGCGUGCCUAAUACAUGCAAGUUGAGCGAUGAAGAUUGGUGCUUGCACCCAUUUGAAGAGCAGCGAGCGGGUGAGUAACGCGUGGGGAAUCUGCCUUUGAGCGGGGGACAACAUUUGGAAACGAAUGCUAAUACCGCAUAACAACUUUAAACAUAAGUUUUAAGUUUGAAAGAUGCAAUUGCAUCACUCAAAGAUGAUCCCGCGUUGUAUUAGCUAGUUGGUGAGGUAAAGGCUCACCAAGGCGAUGAUACAUAGCCGACCUGAGAGGGUGAUCGGCCACAUUGGGACUGAGACACGGCCCAAACUCCUACGGGAGGCAGCAGUAGGGAAUCUUCGGCAAUGGACGAAAGUCUGACCGAGCAACGCCGCGUGAGUGAAGAAGGUUUUCGGAUCGUAAAACUCUGUUGGUAGAGAAGAACGUUGGUGAGAGUGGAAAGCUCAUCAAGUGACGGUAACUACCCAGAAAGGGACGGCUAACUACGUG
rnacentral:rRNA from 1 species